rnacentral:rRNA from 1 species
ACUCCUACGGGAGGCAGCAGUGGGGAAUAUUGCACAAUGGGCGGAAGCCUGAUGCAGCGACGCCGCGUGGGGGAUGACGGCCUUCGGGUUGUAAACUCCUUUCACCAUCGACGAAGGUUUUCUGACGGUAGAUGGAGAAGAAGCACCGGCUAACUACGUGCCAGCAGCCGCGGUAAU